GACCAAAACAAAGAACUCUGGUGUUCUUAACGGACUAGUCUCAGACAAAGAUGGAUUGAAUUCUACAUUUGAUCCUGCAGAUAAAUCUUUCCACAUUGCAGGAACAUCUCAACCUCCUGCACUGGAAGAAAAGUUUAUAGUCAGUAGAAAGGUUCAUGCCAAUAGCACCAAGAGGGAAUGCAUGCUACGGCAGAAGUCACUUCAUUUGGACAAGGGCUACCGGACAUAUGGGCCUAAAGCAUC
rnacentral:misc_RNA from 1 species